rfam:Camelus ferus unplaced genomic scaffold scaffold1749, whole genome shotgun sequence.
GAGGGUGUAGCUCAAGUGGUAGAGUGCAUGCUUAGCAUGCACGAGUUCCUGGGUUCAAUCCCCAGUACCUUCU